rfam:Geobacillus sp. BCO2 LR69_contig000024, whole genome shotgun sequence.
GGAACCUUUAAGUUCAGUCCUGUGAGGCUGAAAAGGGGUCGGAAUGACAAAGAAGGGCGGCGUAUGCCCAUCUUGUUUGGCCAUAAGCGCGCCAUCCCCCGCUUCACAGGCGGGGGAUUUUUUAU